UGUUCUGUGGAUCAGUUGGUUAAAGCGCCGAUCUAGCAAAUACGUAGUCGUGGGUUCGAUCCCACCAGAACGG
rnacentral:tRNA from 1 species